rnacentral:rRNA from 1 species
UACGGAGGAUGCGAGCGUUAUCCGGAUUUAUUGGGUUUAAAGGGUGCGUAGGCGGACUGUCAAGUCAGCGGUAAAAUUGAGAGGCUCAACCUCUUCCCGCCGUUGAAACUGGUGGUCUUGAGUGGAUGAGAAGUACGCGGAAUGCGUGGUGUAGCGGUGAAAUGCAUAGAUAUCACGCAGAACUCCGAUUGCGAAGGCAGCGUACCGGCAUCCAACUGAUGCUGAGGCACGAAAGCGUGGGGAUCAAACAGG